GAUGAACGCUGGCGGCGUGCCUAAUACAUGCAAGUCGAACGAACGGACGAGAAGCUUUCUUCUCUGAUUUUGUCGGCGGACGGGUGAUUAACACGUGUAUAACCUACCUAUAAGACUGGGGUAACUUCAGGAAACCGUAUCUAAUACCGGAUAAUAUUUUGAACCUCAUUGUUCAAAAGUUAAAUACGGUCUUUCUUUCGCUUAUAGAUUGAUCCGCCCUGCAUUAGCUAGUUGUUAAGGUAACGGCUUACCAAGGCAACGAUGCAUAGCCGACCUGAGAGGGAGAACGGAUAGCCUGGAAGUGAGAAACGGUACAGACUCUGAGGGUGGGAAGCAGCAGGGACUCUUACGCAAGGGAGGAAAGCCUGAUGGAGGAAAGUGGCCGGAGUGCUGAAGGACUUAGGAUGCUAAAAUGAUGUUAUUCGGGAAGAACAUAUGCGCAAGUAACUGUGAACAUAUUGACGGUACCUAAACAGAAAGCCACGGCUAACUACGUG
rnacentral:rRNA from 1 species